rnacentral:rRNA from 1 species
AACGAACGCUGGCGGCAGGCUUAACACAUGCAAGUCGAACACACCGCAAGGUGAGUGGCAGACGGGUGAGUAACACGUGGGGAUCUGCCCAAUGGUACGGAAUAGCUCCGGGAAACUGGAAUUAAUACCGUAUGAGCCCGCAAGGGGAAAGAUUUAUCGCCAUUGGAUGAACCCGCGUCGGAUUAGCUAGUUGGUGUGGUAAAGGCGCACCAAGGCGACGAUCCGUAGCUGGUCUGAGAGGAUGAUCAGCCACACUGGGACUGAGACACGGCCCAGACUCCUACGGGAGGCAGCAGUGGGGAAUAUUGGACAAUGGGCGCAAGCCUGAUCCAGCCAUGCCGCGUGAGUGAUGAAGGCCUUAGGGUUGUAAAGCUCUUUCGCCGACGAAGAUAAUGACGGUAGUCGGAGAAGAAGCCCCGGCUAACUUCGUGCCAGCCGCCGCCGUAACAC